rnacentral:tRNA from 1 species
GAAAUUAUAGCUCAGUGGUAGAGCACAUGUUUAGCAUGCAUGAGGUUCUGAAUUCAAUCCUCAGUUCCUCCA